CCAGGGACCCGAAGCCGACGGCGGAAACACGGUGGGCAGAGUCCGGGUGUAGCCUGAGCCGGCAGGGCAGGGCCGGGAGGCGCUCAGGCGACCUCAGGACCCUGGCCCCUGGCGCGGCAGCAGCGCCCCCUCGCGUCCCUGGGCGGCACACGGCGGGGUCCCGGCAAUGAGAGACCGUUGCUGCCACGGUUUCCCCACUCGAGCCACCUUUUCUUCCCUGAAACUCGGAAUUUCUUCUCCCGGACCUUCCUUCGUGUCCUCUGGGCCCGCGGCCCAGUUGUCCCCACUCAGUGUGGCCCUGUUCUUCGCCUUCCUUCGCGACAGUGCGGUGGGACCGCCGUCGGCCCGGGCCUCCCCUCGCCACCCAGCGGCCACCCCGGCCACAGGACAGGGUCAUAGCGGCUUCAAGUAGGGGUAGCCCGGAGGCCCGGGGCUUUGGAGGAGCACCUUUGAGUCCCGAAACUUUUUCACUUGUCCUCUAUGCCAGGAUGUUCAGCAACCGUCUUUUUUUUUUUUUUUUUUUUUUUUUUUUUUUGGUAAGGGGAAGAAUGAACCUUCCACUUAUCCGCCUCCAAAAUGGAAGGUCUAUUUUCUGAGCAUUAAUUCUGGAUUAUUUUGGUGCUCACCUUUGGAACCUAACCACAGUGUUGUGAGGAAAGAGGAAGCACAAUGGGCUUAGCUGUUUUCACUGAUGGCUCCAGCUAAGGCCUUAGCUGACAACCAGCAUCAACUGGCAGACAUGUCAUUGAGGAAGCCUUCAGAGGAUUCCAGUCCCUAGCUUUCAGCCCACUGCAGCUGACACUAAAUGGAGUACAGAUUACUCUCCCCACUGAGCUUUGCUCAUUGCAGUUUCAUAAGCAAAAUAAAUGUCAUUGUUUUAUGCUA